GUGCCAGCCGCCGCGGUAAUACGUAGGGUGCGAGCGUUAAUCGGAAUUACUGGGCGUAAAGCGUGCGCAGGCGGUUCGUUAAGUCUGAUGUGAAAGCCCCGGGCUCAACCUGGGAAUGGCAUUGGAAACUGGCGGGCUGGAGUAUGGCAGAGGGGGGUGGAAUUCCACGUGUAGCAGUGAAAUGCGUAGAGAUGUGGAGGAACACCGAUGGCGAAGGCAACCCCCUGGGCCAAUACUGACGCUCAGGCACGAAAGCGUGGGGAGCAAACAGGAUUAGAUACCCUGGUAGUCCACGCCCUAAACGAUGAUCACUGGGUGUUGGGGAAGCGAUUCCUUGGUACCGUAGCUAACGCGUGAAGUGAUCCGCCUGGGGAGUACGGUCGCAAGAUUAAAACUCAAAUGAAUUGACGG
rnacentral:rRNA from 1 species